AGGUGACUGUGGCCAUGGCUCUGACU
rnacentral:piRNA from 1 species